AACGAACGCUGGCGGCAUGCCUAACACAUGCAAGUCGAACGAGACCUUCGGGUCUAGUGGCGCACGGGUGCGUAACGCGUGGGAACCUGCCCUUAGGUUCGGAAUAACUCCCCGACAGGGGUGCUAAUACCGGAUAAUGUCUUCGGACCAAAGAUUUAUCGCCUUUGGAUGGGCCCGCGUUGGAUUAGCUAGUUGGUAGGGUAAAAGCCUACCAAGGCGACGAUCCAUAGCUGGUCUGAGAGGAUGAUCAGCCACACUGGGACUGAGACACGGCCGAGACUCCUACGGGAGGCAGCAGUGGGGAAUAUUGGACAAUGGGCGAAAGCCUGAUCCAGCAAUGCCGCGUGAGUGAUGAAGGCCUUAGGGUUGUAAAGCUCUUUUACCCGGGAUGAUAAUGACAGUACCGGGAGAAUAAGCUCCGGCUAACUCCGUG
rnacentral:rRNA from 1 species